rnacentral:rRNA from 1 species
UACGGAGGGUGCGAGCGUUGUCCGGAAUCACUGGGCGUAAAGGGCUCGUAGGCGGCCAACUAAGUCAGACGUGAAAUCCCCAGGCUCAACCUGGGAACUGCGUCUGAUACUGGAUGGCUUGAGUUUGGGAGAGGGAUGCGGAAUUCCAGGUGUAGCGGUGAAAUGCGUAGAUAUCUGGAGGAACACCGGUGGCGAAGGCGGCAUCCUGGACCAACACUGACGCUGAGGAGCGAAAGCGUGGGGAGCAAACAGG